CCGAGUGCGGGACGAGCGCGCGGGACCGGGCGGCUGAGGCGGACCCAGGAGGAGUCAGCAGUGGAAGAUGUGAGUUGGGCAGACUUCAAGAGUAGAGCAGAGGGAUAUGUGGAAGAUACUAUAAAUGUUGCUGAAAAGGUGGUUUCCUGGUGUCCAAAAGUUCAUGAACUAUUUCAAGAAGGAGAGAGGUGUCAGCACUGUUAAAUACUGUAGAGACUAGGGGAGGAUAUACAGAGAAUUACCAAGAAGAAUAAAAAGGAGGAAGGAGGAAAGAAGGAAGAAAGGAAAGAAGAAAUGAAGAAGGAAGAAGGGAAGAAAGAAGGAAAAGAAGGGAGAGUGGGAGGCAGAGAAAAAGAAAGGAAGGAAGAAAGAAAAGAAGCAAGUUAAAGAAAACUUUAAAAAAAUAAAUUACUGAAACUGGA